UAUGUAUUUUUACAACAAACAAGCAUAUGUUUUAAAGAGCAUAUUGUAAGUUAAAAAACUGUUUAAAAAAAAAGGUAGAAUCGUUUGUGAAAAUAUUCUAUAAUACCAUAAAAUACCAUAUUAAAAUGUUUUACGAAGUGCAAGGGUUUUCCCACUUUCGCUUUUUUUUUCUAACCAUCCCGGUGACGUCAGUGCAGGGACUUAUCUGACAGACGCGCGCUGUUUACAGUGGGGCAGAGGAGCUAAUAUCAGAACUGGUUGUUAGUUUUGGCGGAAUUUAUCAUCAUCGUGGUAUAUUAUUGCGUUUAUGGAAACUGCACAAACUCCAGCCUGUCAACAGAUCAAGUCCACAAGUUUCCUCUUGCUAUUUUGGUUCGUGAAAUGGGAUGAAUCCGAUAAGAGUGAUAGCUGACGCGAACAGCGAAAAACACUCCUGGAUCAGUCGGAGAUGCAGCUCGGUGAGCUGUACACGACUUUGGGAGACAGAUGAUGACCCGGAGCUGAAGGCUUUCUCUCCACUGGCCUCUCGGUCAACUGUGCUUCACUUUGGCUCACAUAAUAACCUCAACUAAGAAUAUAUGCAUCAGCCCUCACUGCGUGUCCGACGGUGGACUACUGGAGUUCAUCACAGGCUCGACUUUGCACGACAUUUGCUCUCCUUUCUAGAUCCUUCCAGCGGGUUUACAAGGAUGAAGCUGUUGGCAUCUUUUUACACAGCAUUCACAAUUUAACACACAUUAAAGACAUGAUGGUGUGGUACCCACAUAAACGUUGGCCAACUUACUGAAAAAUAAUUUUAGGUUUACUUUUAAAUGGGUCAGAUGAUAUAUUUUCCUUUCAGUAUACACACACUCACACAGAUACUUAUGCAUAUAUAAAGAGUAAAAAUGCUGGGUAUUAACACUGCUUAUGAUUUUGUGCUAUAUACAUAAAACUUGAGUAGCAUUAAGAAUUUGAACUUGAAUUAGGGUUGAAGUUUAUUUAAUCAUAAUGCAGAUCAGAUCUGUUGAUCAAAUUUUUGUAAAUAUUUUAUACUAUUAAAACUGUACUUGUCUUUUUAUGGAUUGUUGCCUAAAUGGGAUCUGAUACAGAUAAUCUUAUACCCAAUGAAAAAAUGACAAAAAGAAAUAUUUAAAAACUUAUUUUAAUUGUUUUAAUAUUUGAUGUUGUU